rnacentral:rRNA from 1 species
CAUAGCGACUAUCGUGGCAUAUCAAUAAGCGGAGGAAAAGAAACUAACAAGGAUUCCCUUAGUAACGGCGAGUGAAGCGGGAAGAGCUCAAAUUUGAAAUCUUCAAGGUUUUACCUUGACGAAUUGUAGUUUAAAGAAGUGUUUUCUGUUGGAGUUUUGGUAAAAGUUCUUUGGAAUAGGACAUCAUAGAGGGUGAGAAUCCCGUAUUUGACCAUUAUUUCCAGCUGUGUGAUAGCACUUUCAAAGAGUCGGAUUGUUUGGGAAUGCAGUCCAAAAUGGGUGGUAAAUUUCAUCUAAAGCUAAAUAUUGGCGAGAGACCGAUAGCGAACAAGUACCGUGAGGGAAAGAUGAAAAGAACCUUGAAAAGAGAGUUAAACAGUACGUGAAAUUGUCAAAAGGGAAGCGUUUGACACCAGUGUUGUUUUCUCCGAAAAUCAAUUACGAAUGUUUUAUUUUUAAGGAGUUAUGACUUCAUCGGCUUGCUCCUUUCUUUAUGAAACUUUCUUAAUGCACUUUUCGGUUAACAAGUCAACAUCAAUUUCUUUUGUUGUAAAAGGGUAAGAGGAAGGUGGCUUUCUUUUCGGAGAAAGUGUUUAUAGCCUUGUACCUCUGCAAUCGGAGAGAUUGAGGUCUGCAGCGUAGAUCCUUCGGGGUUAGAUACAUUUGUGCUAAGUUAUAGCUUUUCAUAGACAACUUGUUGACUAUGUUAAGUCUUGUAGCUUACUCGCUUAUGCUAUUUUACCUACGCUUAGGAUGUUGAAGAUAUGCGCGACACG